rnacentral:pre_miRNA from 1 species
ACCCUGUAGAUCCGAAUUUGUGUAAACAUGACGGAAGCUGCAAAUUCGGGUCUUGGGGAGG